rnacentral:rRNA from 1 species
AGUGAACGCUGGCGGUAGGCCUAACACAUGCAAGUCGAGCGGCAGCACAGUAAGAGCUUGCUCUUACGGGUGGCGAGUGGCGGACGGGUGAGGAAUACAUCGGAAUCUACUUUUUCGUGGGGGAUAACGUAGGGAAACUUACGCUAAUACCGCAUACGACCUACGGGUGAAAGCAGGGGAUCUUCGGACCUUGCGCGAUUGAAUGAGCCGAUGUCGGAUUAGCUAGUUGGCGGGGUAAAGGCCCACCAAGGCGACGAUCCGUAGCUGGUCUGAGAGGAUGAUCAGCCACACUCGAACUGAGACACGGUCCAGACUCCUACGGGAGGCAGCAGUGGGGAAUAUUGGACAAUGGGCGCAAGCCUGAUCCAGCCAUACCGCGUGGGUGAAGAAGGCCUUCGGGUUGUAAAGCCCUUUUGUUGGGAAAGAAAAGCAGCAGGUUAAUACCCCGCUGUUCUGACGGUACCCAAAGAAUAAGCACCGGCUAACUUCGUG